rnacentral:lncRNA from 1 species
AGGCAAUAUUCACUCGUUAAACAGUUCUUCGUUCUCAACUGUUCUCUGAGGGGCGGGGGAAGGCAGUAAAAUGAAGUCCACUCGGCAGAGCACACAGCAAACAGAAUGAGAAUCUGGGCCUGGGGCUGUUUUCCUGUAGAUGGAUUUAUGGAAGUGACUUUCUUCUCUGGCCCGGCAAGAGAACUGCUUUCUGGUUUACAGAACUUGGAUGUAGUGAGAAUCCUCCCUUCCACCAGCACUGAAGAAGCACUUCCUUUGAAAGAAGAUUCUGGAAAUGUAGUGGAAGACCUUGCUACCUCACAUCUACCACCUUGUCUACCUCGUACCUCCUCAGGAGUGCCUGGUGGAGACAUGUGGAAAAGAGCUGGAAAGUGAGAAUAGAAUCCCAUUUAUCCACAGUAGCUCAACUAUAGUUAUUAAGGAGUUAUAAUACUGUUCACUGCUUCUGCCUGUGGCGUCUAUUUCUUCCCUCUUUGUCAAAGCCACUUUCGGGUGCCUUAGCCUCUUCCAGAUCCAAGCUUUCUGACUGACAUGUUUAAGAAAGUGAAAUAAAAGUUUGUAGACUAUCCUA